UGAGGAAUAUUGGACAAUGGGCGCAAGCCUGAUCCAGCCAUGCCGCGUGCAGGAAGAAGCAUCUAUGGUGUGUAAACUGCUUUUGUACGGGAGGAAACACUCCUUCGUGAAGGAGCUUGACGGUACCGUAAGAAUAAGGAUCGGCUAACUCCGUGCCAGCAGCCGCGGUAAUACGGAGGAUCCAAGCGUUAUCCGGAAUCAUUGGGUUUAAAAGGUCCGUAGGCGGUUUAGUAAGUCAGUGGUGAAAGCCCAUCGCUCAACGAUGGAACGGCCAUUGAUACUGCUAGACUUGAAUUAUUAAGAAGUAACUAGAAUAUGGAGUGUAGCGGCGAAAUGCUUAGAUAUCGCAUGGAAUACCAAUUGCGAAGGCAGGUUACUACUAAUGGAUUGACGCUGAUGGACGAAAGCGUGGGGAGCGAAC
rnacentral:rRNA from 1 species